rnacentral:rRNA from 1 species
UACGAAGGGUGCAAGCGUUGUUCGGAAUUAUUGGGCGUAAAGGGUUCGUAGGCGGGAAGACAAGUUGAGUGUGAAAUCCCUAGGCUUAACCUAGGACGUGCACUCAAAACUCUCUUUCUUGAGUGUUGGAGAGGGUGGUGGAAUUGCUGGUGUAGGAGUGAAAUCCGUAGAGAUCAGCAGGAACAUCGGAGGCGAAGGCGACCGCCUGGCCAAACACUGACGCUGAGGAACGAAAGCAUGGGGAGCAAACAGG